rnacentral:rRNA from 1 species
GAUCAUGGCUCAGGAUGAACGCUAGCUACAGGCUUAACACAUGCAAGUCGAGGGGCAGCAUGAACUUAGCUUGCUAAGUUUGAUGGCGACCGGCGCACGGGUGAGUAACACGUAUCCAACCUGCCGAUGACUCGGGGAUAGCCUUUCGAAAGAAAGAUUAAUACCCGAUGGCAUAAUUCUUCCGCAUGGUAGAACUAUUAAAGAAUUUCGGUCAUCAAUGGGGAUGCGUUCCAUUAGGUUG